AAAAAAAAAAGCUUUGACAACACAUCUUUGACCAAAAGGAACAAAUAAGGAGAGAGAGGAUCUCCUUGCCGAAGACCCCUUUAUGGAGAGACUUUGGUUCUCGAUUCGCCAUUGGCCUGCACCUCAAACUUAACUGUAGCAACACAUUCAAUUGUCCAUUGUACCCAUUUUUUGUGGAAACCCAUCUUCAACAUCACAGCUUCUAAGAAGUCCCAUUCUACCCUGUCAUAGGCUUUGUUAAAAUCCAACUUGAUUGCCAUAAAAUCUUCCUUCCCUUGCUUUUUGCGUUUAAGAAAAUGAAAAGCUUCAUGGGCAAUGAGGAUAUUGUCUUGGACAAAAUGGUGUUUGACCUAAUGCUUAUGAUGUUUGUAUUGGUUGUAAAGAGCCGGAUGUUGUCAACUAAUUCAUUGAGUGUGUGUGUGUGUGUAAAUAGUCGACGUCAUUACUUAGAACUAGGUUUUCUUGGAUAUCAUGCAACAAGAUGCCCUCGAUAGACAAUGGUGACAACAAAUUCAUGUAGAUUGAUUGGGACUCAAGGUUUGGCUUGGUUAUGGAGGUCACUACUUGUUUCCAAACUUCUACUGUCAUGAUUUUUACCGUUUCCAUCUUUUCCUUUCUUAUGUGGGUGUCUUAAUAUCUAUAUGUACACUGUGAUUUGAGUUGUAAGUCGUCUGGGCCUUCUUCCUAAGGAGGUUAGUCUGUCAACUAAAAGAGUUGGAUACAAAUGAACACAUUCUUGCAAACCUACUAGGAUGGAGUGAUCAAGUCAAAUGUGACAAACCAUAGAUGCAGAUGUUCAACAGUUGGGGUAAUGUUCAGUGGUAGAAAAAAUAAUUAUUGUGGUGUGAUGUCUUAAUUAGAUGAGACAUAUUUGAGGUUUACCAGCAUAUAUUACAUGGACGGCUGUAGUGUUAGAGAGUACAUGAUAAUUUGAAUACAGUGUAGUGGUUGUUUUUAGAGUUGCCAAAAUUGACUUGAACACAUUUCAUAUGAUCUGGAACUAUGAUAUGAUCAUCAGCUGCAUCAGGUGGAUGGAAAUUCGUCCAAUUGGAAAUUCGUCCAACUGCUCUAAAUUGUAUAGCCUAUGGCAGCAAACUGCUGUUGCUGUUCUGCUGUUGUUUUGUUGCUACUGACUAGUUAGGAUGCUGUUUUGCUGCCUUAUUAUGCAGCUGGUUGCUGCUGUUCUUGGUUGUUAACUCAGGCAGCAAUCAAGCUGCCUUAUUCAGCCUUGUGUUCUUUUGUGACUUUAGAAAAUAUUGUAAAAUCCAAGUGUUGCUGUCCAGUUUGAAAGGCCUAGUUUGUGUUCUUUUGAUGCUGUCCAUGUUGUACAGGCCUGUGGCAUAUUCAUGUAUAAUUUGGUUUUGUAUAGGCCUGUGGCUUAUUAGUUUUAGUUCUUCUCGAGAAUGAACGAUCUCAUAAACUUUGUCCAUAUGCUGAGGAAAGCUAUAGGUAGGAUUUCGUACAAGUGGUUUUGUAUGAUUCACUCACCGAGUUUCUAGCAGUUUAGACCACGGACAAUUCACUCUACCGUAGUAAUCGGAUUGGUUAGAAUGUAAAGACAAGAUCAGAUGAUGUUCGAUAGGGUUUGACUAAGUUCUUUAUGUCAUUUACUUCAACAUUUGCAUUGCUGAAGUGAUCUGAAUGGGAUUUUUGUAUAUUACUUGUAUAUAGAUGCUAAUGUGGUUGUGGCUUCCCAUGUAAUAAUUUGGAUUAUAGACGUUUUUCCCUUCUGUUUUCCUAUCUUUCUUCAUUUUAAUUUCUGCAGCUUUGCUCAUUAAAAAAUAUGAUCUGGUUGCUCUACGGAGAGAGCUUUCUUUUUCCUUGAUAGCUUAUGGUAGAUGUCAGGCCUCGAAUCAUCAGUUGGACGAGGAAAAACAAUGCGAAUGAUAUAGGGGGAAUAGGAAGCUGGGAAAUGAUCAAGAAUCACAUGAGAAACUAACUACUAAUGCUGACAAGCGACAAGUGAUUUCUUCAUAAUGGAAUGAAACAUGGAAAUAAAAUCCAAGAUGCAUGUUGGAUGAUUGGUUGAAACUAGAGAACUGAUAAAGUCCUUGUGGUCACUAAGUACAUAAUGAAUGUCAUGGGUUGACACUCUCAACUAGUGUGCCACAGAGCUUAGAGUUGGGAUAAGGCACGGUGGAUUUCCUCUUACAUAUUUUUGGAGUUCCUGGGCAAUUUUUUUGGAGAGAAUCCAUUUCCGGUCGCUUAUGCCUAUGUCUAAAUUUAAGUUCUCAAUAUUACUUCUAUUGCGUUCCAUUUAAGGUUAGUGGGGGUUAUGAUUUUUCAAAAGGUAUCUCUAAUUCUUAGGCUGGAAACACAAAUCUUUAAUCGCAUUUUAGGUUAGAAAUGUUGAAGGUCUCCUUUUUAUUUUUCUUAGCGGACUUCUUUUUAUUUUUCUAACCCAGCCGUCUGCUUACACUAAUACAUUUCGAAGUGCUUCAGCGUUGUGCCGGCAACAUUGUAGGAUCUUUAGGCGGUGCGUCUGUCUUGUGUUGGAGGAGUACUUGUAAAGACACCCUGAAGUGGUUUUUCUCUUUUUGCUCUAGCAAAGCCUCUUUCUCUUUUUCAUGUUUUCGGGCAGCUGCAUGUUUGAUUUUCAGAUGUAUGCAUGUGAUUCAGAUUUUAGUUGUGCUUGUGUGAUAAUGAUACAAGGCUAAAAAGUUCAUGCCAUAUUCACUUCAAAAUCAAUUUUCUACGACUCCUAAAAAAAAUAUUUGCAACCAAAUGUUUUUUUUGUGUGUGUGUUUCAAGCAGACAUAUUCACUUCAUUUGUAUUUUUACAGAGAUUACGACACAUUAGCAGACUACGUCAUCAACUACCAUGCAUUCGCCCUCUACUACCAAAUUUGAUAUACUUCGAUUGCAAAAACAAAAUGGCAAAUGGGAAGAGAAACUUCAUCAAACCAUGUUCUUUAGCAACUCGGAAGAAAACCAAAUAUGAGAUGGCAAGAGAUGAGAGAAUGAAGGAGAACAAUGAGAGAUUGAAGGCUGCUGGGAUUGACCGUAUACUAGCUGAUUUGAGGGGUUCGUCUUUGCCAAACUGUACGAAUGAGAAGAGAAUGGGUACUAGGAAUGGGGUAGAUGAUCCUGACUAUAUGCCACCAAGUAUUGAGGAUGCCAAUGACGAUGAGUCCUUUGAUUCUCUUGAACAUGAGCUCCAAUAGAUACCACCGAGUGGACCAACAAGAUCAGAAGUUGAGCUCCAGCAUGACUCAACUCGUGUCCUUGAGAGGAUGACUCGUUCAACACCACAUCUUGUAGUUGAGUCCCAGCCCUCACCACCUCGCAAUGUAGAAAUACAAAGUGAGGCAGCUGCAGUU